GCCAAAGUGGUGGAAUUGGUAGACACGCUGGGUUUAGGUUCCAGUACUUUUGGUGUAGGGGUUCAAGUCCCCUCUUUGGUA
rnacentral:tRNA from 2 species